rnacentral:tRNA from 1 species
GAAUCCUCAUGUUAACGGUUCCAAUUUCCAAUC